UACGUAGGGGGCAAGCGUUGUCCGGAAUCAUUGGGCGUAAAGCGCGCGUAGGCGGCUCGAUCAGUCUGCUGUAAAAGUCAAAGGCUCAACCUUUGAAUGCCGGUGGAUACUGUCGAGCUAGAGUCCGGAAGAGGCGAGUGGAAUUCCUGGUGUAGCGGUGGAAUGCGCAGAUAUCAGGAGGAACACCAACGGCGAAGGCAGUGUCCUGGGGAGUACCUGACGCUCAGGUGCGAAAGCCAGGGGAGCGAACAGG
rnacentral:rRNA from 1 species